CUUUCCAGAUAUAAAGGCAGCUACCAAAUACACCAAUCCGCCGAACAGGAUAUCCAUACAAAUGCUCCAAACCAUACGAAUACUUCAAACAGCCGAACAGGAAAAACCAUACGAAUAGCUUUACACUCCCAAACAGCAUACUAGUAAAACCAUACGAAUAACCCCCCCCCCCCAAGUAAGAGACAAGGCUCUGUAUUGAGGGUCAGCAGGUGAUCU